CAUGAGGGUACGAUGUGUUCCACCCUUUCUUUCCUCCAGUUGGAACUCUGUCAAGCAGCAAUGGAGCAAAGGAGACAUGAUUGGCAAAGUAAUUUCUGGAGCUGACAUCUGACGGCUCCCAUCAAAGUCCUCUCUUUCUCCACUGAGAAUGUUGGAUUGUUUUGAAGUCUGCAGGACUGUGGCAGCUCAUAAAGUCCUGAAGAUGGGGCCAUUAAGCUUGGAAAUAACAUUCUGAAGAUUGGUUUGUGGAGCCUGGAUAAACAUGACUGACAAUACUGCACAAUUCAAGGAUUAGUCUUAUUUUUGUUUUGCCUUUAAGGACAAUCCCACCUGGAGGCCAUGAUGAACUAGGAGAUCUCUUUAGAUUGAAGACCUUACAGAAGAGGAAGAGGUGGAGGACGCACCCUUUGCUUUCUUCAGAAGCAUGGAGACAUACUCAUUAUUAGGAGAGAGAUCCAGCAGUUUCUUGGUGCUCUGUGGCUCCUGCAGAGGGAGCUCUACUUGGUCUGGAUUUGCUGUGAGCCUCCUGCUAGGUCCAUGGCUUUAGCACUUUCUUCCCUCACAUGGGCCUGGGAAAACCUCUCAGAGUUUGUAAUAGCAGCAUGUACCUGUCUGUCAACAAAGAAGUCCUAGAUGUGAAAUCACCACCGAGGCAGCUGCCAGGAACAGAGCAGCAAGCUACCCGAGCUUUACAGAGCCACCCAAACCUUUGUGGCUAAGAAGCCAGUUGCAAGCAGCAAUUAAUGACUGGGAUUUCAUUUCCUAUUCUUCAAAGACACCUUCUCAUCACCCUUUUGUAGAGAAUAUAUUACUAAGGACUUCCAGUGAGAACAAGGUGUCAGGGAUUCUUGUAGCAAUUGUGCAAGAAAGACUCAUCAAAAUCACACACAGAAAUCAAGAAAAUUAAGCCAAGUAUACAUGAGUAUGUAUCCACUGCUUAUACUUACAAGGGAGGUACAUCCCGAACUUCAUUAUCAGUGUAUGGUUUGACAUGUCCCUUAUAAUGCAACUCAUUACAUUUACAAAUAAGCCUUCACAGGUGUUGAGAUUAGAAUGGCUGGCUGGACCUUGCCUUUUGUUCACAGAGAGGGAAGAGCAUGUAGGUUCAUUAUGCAUAUGUUUACUUAAACUGGCUCUAUCAGAAAAUGUUUCUCUCUUCUUGCUGAAAAAAUGUGAAGAUGCAUUUCUAAGUCUAUAUGUCAGGGAGUGUCUAAGUGCCUUAGUAGGGCAAUGCCUCUUUUUUUGCACCUUAUUGAAGGAUCUUGGAAAUGAAUCAAAUCCCCUUUUGUCACCACCCUGGGCAAAUGGGGAGUGAAGAUUAGGAAGUUGGGAAAGGAGGGGCAGUCCAAUUGUUUUUAUCCAGGGAAAACUGAAGAUAGUUUCUACAUGUGCAUUCCAGGCCAUAAACUGUCUUUUGAGAUUCAUUCUUGGGAAGAACAUGGAAAAAAAGAAAUGAAUAACUUG
rnacentral:lncRNA from 1 species